rnacentral:misc_RNA from 1 species
UUAUUUAAUUAUAAUAAUAUAAUAUAUAUACUAUGAGAUUUUAUCACUAUAAAAAAAAAAUAUAUAUAUAUAUUAAUAGGAAAAUCAUAUUUAUUAAAUAUAUUGAUGUAAUAUAAAUAAAUAUAUAAUUGAAAUACAUAUAUAUUAAAUAAUAUUAAUAAUAAACCAGAAUAAUAUGAUAUAGAUAACUAUAAAUUAAAUUAUGGUUGUUUAAUAAAAUAUAGGUGAUUUGUUAGUUAUAUAAUAAUAACAAAAAUAUGUUUAUAUAUUUAAAUAA